AAGAGCCGCUGGCGCCUGCGCGGUGGCGCCGCCGCCCUGCAGCUUUCCGCCGGGAUGGAGGCGGCGGCGCGGCGGCGGCCGCGGGAGCCGGAGCGGCCGGAACGGGAGCGGGAGCGGGAGCAGGACGAUGGUGGGCGGGUGAUGUCACGGUCCCUGUCGGGACAGUCCUACUGGCUGGACCUGUGGCUCUUUAUCCUCUUCGAUCUGGCGCUUUUCCUGCUUAUCUACUUGCUGCCCUGAGGGCGCGGCCCAGGGCCAGGGCCGGCGGGGGAAUUCUCACCUAUUUCGCACCUUCUGAACACAGGCAGUGGAAGAGCGGGAGCGUCCGUGCGGGAUAAGCAGCGGGGAACACGACUCCACUUGAGGAGGCACGGUUUUGUACUGUACCCUGAUCCGUCUCUGUGUCACAAGUGUCACUGCUCGGGUCCUGCCGGUGUCCUGGGCUGUGCCUUAGAGCUCCCGCAGCACAGGCUGAGCGUGCCUUGUGAUCGUGCCUGGGGGUUUGUUGGGCAGAAAUGGAAGUAUGCGCUGAAAGGACACCCUGCAGAGGGGCUGAGAGUAAAACCCAGCUCUCGUGUACACUGAAGAUAUGGCUCAGACCUGUUCCCUCAACAGAUGAAGCUUGGCCAGCUGUUCUGCUUCCAAAAAGCUAAUUCUGAUGGGUUGAUGCUGGUUGGGUUUCUUAUUAUACCUUUCUCUGUUUUUUCUUUCUUUACCUUCAGCAGUUACUGAGCACUCUCAGACUCAGUAUUUAUUGAUAUAAAUAUAUACAUAUAUAAACAUGUCAGUGUUUAACCCAGCAGCAGUGUCCUGUCCUCACUUACUGAUUAAGAUAAAUCAGGUUCUGAUUGCCUUGCUGAAACUGUGAAGGAGGAGCUUACAAGAGCAGCCUUGAGUCACUGGCAGAUGACACAUAAAGAUCCCUCCUCCUCCUCCUCACCACCCAUGGAUGGUAUAAGUAGACAGUGACAGGUAAUUAAAAGGUUUCAACAUCAAUUUCCUCUGUCUCACUAGAAGGAGACUUUCAAACUUGUAUUAAAGGGAGGAGUCUCUUGCAGUCUUUGGAGAAGGAAACAGAAGCUGAGCACAUGGAGUGAGCUUUUUGCCAGGGCUGGGUUGGGGGAAGACAGUUUGCAAGCUUUGGAUGAAGGGUGUUCAGUUUACUUUAGCAUUUUUCCCUUGGGAAUACAAAUUUCUAUUUCUGAGAAGUACAAUCCAUGCUUGGUGGCUGUUUUGUUUGUUUUUUUUUUUCAGAAGUACAUGUAACAAAAUAACUGGAUUGCAGAGACUUGGAACCACAGAGUGGUUCAGUGUCUUCCCACACAAUAAAUGAAAAUGGACCAGGAUGAGGUUAAAUAGGAUUGGGGAUGCAAAAAUAGACAGCUGCUCUUUCCUUUUAUUUUUAUUCCAUUGUGAAGGCAGCUUUGCUCUUGGCAGUGGUUUGUUUCAUGUGUCAGCCCUGUGCUGUAAGAACAGAGCUGCUGUGCCCUGCUGGCAUUUAUCAUCGUGGCAGCUGGCACCUGUGAGAGCAGAGUGGGUUCAGGGAUCUUGACUCAAGGUGCACAGGAACCCUGCAUUCUCACAAACACCACACUGGCCAUUCCAGUUUUUCAAUGAGGCCAUUACAGACAAGCUCACUACCUUCACUACCUUUUUUUAACCCCCUUCAGGCAUGAUAUCACAAGUGAAAGCCCCAGUGAACUAAAAGACUGUAAUGUUACUCCAUUUAUUUUUGAUAAGGAAGACAGGUGAGAUUUAAAGGCUUAGUAAAUAGAAUUUCAAGAUAUCUUCAACUGAUUUAGUUUUUUCCUUCAACCAGAUCUGACAUUAAAGGUUUUGCUUAUCUAGGAAGAGUUAAGAGCUAACAAAGUGCUGCUGUGGGCUCCAGCUGUUCCAUAGGCACAUGGAGCUCCUAAGUACAGAGAUCCAGGUAAAUUCUGCUUAUCCCUAGUAAAGAUAGUAAGGUAGAUUGUGUAUCUGUCAAUCACUUGUCACCAGGUCUGUGGGAUUAUGGUAUAAAAAUGGCUUUAUGCAUUUCAUAGCUGUUUGAAAAGUUUAAACUAUUUAAUAGCUUUAUGAACAAAUACUUCAGAACAUGAAUUUUACUGUUCAGAAAAGAUAACCAAACCACCAUCUCACCAAAAACUUUCAACCAUCAGUUAGCAGCAUUAUGUGUUGUGUUAAAAAUGUAGUUCUGGAAAGCCAACCUUUUUUCUUAAACACGAAACACAAAAAGAACAGACAACAAAGAUUUUAAAUUUUUAUCUUGAUGUUUUGAACAAGUAGAACUUUGCAAGUAAAUAAUUCUAAAGACUGAAAAAUAUAUUAAUUACAAGACUCGUUAAUAUCUUUACUGUUACAAAAAUUCUCUAGGCUCUUAUACAAAUCUAUAGCUGGGGGGACAUUUAUAAAAAAAUAAAUAGGCACCCUAGGUAAGUUCAAACGAGUUAUCACAUAUUAGUUAGCAAAUAUUACAUACAUACAUACAUGGAGUGCAGAGGCAAAUAUAAAAAUGAAGGUGCCUUGAUUAGCUGUCUGUUUAACCAUGAAAUAGCUGGUAAACGUGGGUCACAGAGGAAACUGUCGGGUGAGAUUGCUCCAAGCUAAGCAAGGAAACUGAAGUACACCUAAGUUACUGCAGCUGUUCAGAGAGGAGUGCACCAGUUGUGCUUACUGGGAGCAGAGUUCAUUGGUAUCAGUCAGAGGCAUUCAUAUUGCUUGUGGUACACAAGUAUCAACAUUGCUAUGCAUGUUUAAAAAUAAGUGUUCUAACAUCAUUCACAGUUGUUGCUGUGCUAUCCAUACAUAAAAAUACUGUCAUUUCAAAUACAAGAUUUUUUUUUGUUUUUUGAAAAACAUAAUUUUACAAAUUAUACAUUAUUUACAAAUUCCAAUAAUCAUGGUUUUUACAUAGGUAUUAGAGGACAGUUGUACUUAACUGGCUAUGUAUAUUGUGUAACAUGGCUAGAUGAACUAGAAAAGUUUGAUUUACAGGUUCUGAAAUCUCUCUUAAAAAUAUUACAAUAGGAAUCACCCAAGUUCUUACAUUUUUAGUGUUCUUCUGUAGUCAAUUUUCCUACAAAAGGAUCUUUGAUUAUGUUGCUGUUUAUUAGCAGCCAUACAGAAACAUGCAUAGCAUUUUCACUAUAAAUUCUAGAAUUCAUUUUUUCCCCCAAGUGCUACAACAGAUUUUGAUCAAGAAGGUAGAAAGGUUAAUCUGAGAUACCUGGUUUGUUGCAUAUAUAUAAUGUUCCAGUUCUACUGUAAGGUACGUGUUACUUAAAAGAAAAAAAAACCUGACCUUGCCACAGAAUAACCAAAGCUACUGUUUAAAUGUUUGCCUUGGAUAAUUGUGCUAAACAAUUGCCAUCAUUUGGUUGAAGCACUAAACACAUGUACAUAAGGUUAUAAACAUGAAAAAAAAAAGCUUUUCUGAUGUAUUAUUUUCAUAAUAAAAGGCAUUGAUGUUUAGGUGUAAUCAGCAGCACCCCAAGUUAACACUCCAAUGUGAAUAAUGGAAAAAUUUUACCUGUUUAGGUUGUGCCAGGCUUUGCUAUGCUGCCUCAGCACUCAGUAGAUGGUUCUGUGCAUUGAUUUAACUAACCAGAUAAAAGCCAAAUAAAUCUUCCUCCUUGUUACUGAGAGAAGUCAGGUUAACAAAAGACAAGGUAAAUUCCAGAGCUGCCAAAACUGGAUACAGAGUGACAGAGCAGAGAAGGAGGAAGCUCUUCUUUCCAUGCCCCCUUAGCCACCAGCGUGGCUGCACAUUCAGCCUGACCUGCCAAUGCAGACCAUAUCCAUGUAUAGGACUGAUCCAAAUGGGAAAACAUGUUAGUAAAAAAAAAAUUCGAGAAAAAAAAUCAAAUGUGUGAUCCCCAUGAACCAAAAGGUCAAAGCUGGAAAAAAGGGGGAGUUUAAUAAAUAGCAGCAUUGACUUUGCAUGCAAUUGUAGGAUAAGUCAGAACUGAAAGUAAGUACUUCUAAAAUGUUACAAAAUUCAUCUCUCAUACUUGCAUAACUCUAUUUAAAAUUAGCAUCCUAUUCUGUUAUACUGGUUUGUAACUUGUUAAGUUAAAUUUAAUAAGUUAAAGUAUACAGCUUAAAGGAUGAACAAAUCUGAUAAAUGUGUUUAAAAACGUACACUAACAGAGCAGAGGUAUUAAUAGGAAAGCAUUACUGCAGUUUACUUCAAUUCCCUUUGAAAGUCUAAUUUAACACUUACAAACCAAAACGGUUUUUAAAGGAGUAUUAUUAUUAAGGCUUUUCAAAUAAAAAAUAAAUCCUCUGGGUAAACUUGCAUUAAAGACACUUGAAGGUUUGUGAAAGCACAGACUGGGAGACAUGGCUUGAAAAAACCAUGUCACCUCCUGCUACCUCUGAGGAUAAAUACUGCUCUGUUAUGACUUCAUGUACUGCAUUAGUUGUGGUAGCAUGCUUAUCCCUUUUGUUAGUGUAAGAACAGUGACCACAGUCUGAAGGAGCACUUCUCACACUGCAGCUAGCCACAUCUCGCAGAGUUAGUAACAUCCAGCUGAUCCUGCUGCUGCAGGGUGUGCACGCCCCAAGGGACCACACGGAAUACAAACUGAAGAGGACAAGCUGAGUAACAGAGGACAGCCAUGCACGGUUAAAACCAGACGCCGGCUCGAUUGGGAAUUUUGGCUCUACGUUCUCUGCAAACCUAAAUAUGGGACACACGAGCCCUGCUCAGCUGGAGCCCGGCAUCCUUAUCAAUGAGUCAUUAAGAGUGAGCAAUAAAUGAAAGGUAAUUGUGUUCUGACAUGUAAA